rnacentral:lncRNA from 1 species
UUAGGUUGUGAGAUAGAGUUGGUGGAUUCAGACAACGACUGCUUGUUGUAGAUAUAUGGCCUACUUACUAAGGAAGCUAAUGUUGAAUAUCGCAGCCAAGCAUUUGCAAUCAAUCUUUUCCCUCUUGAGGUCUCAUAUCAAGCUGUCCCUAAGAAGUUAGUUUAGACAUAUGCAUUACACAGUUGUGACAUCUUAGUCUCAAUUGGCGCCUUUGCUGAAUGUUUUAUUGUUCUGCACCUAUUUUAACUUGCUACCUAAAGGAUGUUGCGGUUUCUCCAUUCCUGACCUGACGAUCAUACAAUGUUUUUUUUUUUUGAAAACGAGGGAGUUUUGGUCCACUACUGGUUCUUUGUGAUAACAAUUGGUGGACAUAAAUUAUUCAAGUUUCAAAGGAAUGGCUAGCUAUUAUCCUAAGCAAGCUUAUUAUGUUUUGGAUUCAGCAGGUCCACUAUAUGUAGCCAUUGCUUGGCCAAUGCAUAAAUGAAGGGGUUAUAGGAUGCUAAGACAAUUGAAACCUCUGCAACAUUGACUCAUCCAUUGCAGUUUCCAUUGAUUGAUGGCAACAUCUGAUACUCUGUGUUGGCCAGGCAGAAAUAAUACUACCAGAUUGCUUGAAAAUAUUCUUGGCGUAAUAUUUGACUGUUUUGUUCUAAUAAAUUAAUUUGAAAGGUCAUGUCAAUGUUUCAUGUCAGAGACUGCCAAUCUUUUAGCCACAUCUAUUUUGCUGGAACGGAUGGAGUAAUUAGCUAAAGUUUCAUCUGACUUCAUUCUAAUCAAAACAUCUAUGUAGCUUUGGAAUAAUUAGCUUACUGUGCUUAUCAAAUUCUCAUGUAUCUAUAGGGUUUCAGUUCAGACGAAUGGGAUGAAGGUUCUGAAUGAAGAUGGAACAACUAUCUGCUGUAUCAGGUAAUUAGUCCUCCAAGAAAAGUAAUGCCGAGCUCCAUCGCGGAAGGCACCCUACUAUUAAGGCUCAUGCCGUCUGUAUGUUCAGUUUCACGCAUAGGAACAUGAUCUCAGGAUUGUUUAGGGUCUGUCCUACUAUGCUUCUGCUAUGAUGUCUUCGAAACCUUGUUCCCUGGUAGCUAGUUCAAGGUGCCCGUACUCUGCUGGUAUGUGCCAAGUACGUGGUAGCAAUU